UGGGAUUAAAAGCAUGAAUGGACCUAAGCU
rnacentral:piRNA from 1 species